rnacentral:rRNA from 1 species
UAGGGAAUAUUGGACAAUGGGUGAGAGCCUGAUCCAGCCAUGCCGCGUGCAGGAAGAAGGCGUUAUGCGUUGUAAACUGCUUUUUGCCAGGGGAUAAAAAGACCGUGCGCGGUUAAUUGAAGGUACCUGGUGAAUAAGCCACGGCUAACUACGUGCCAGCAGCCGCGGUAAUACGUAGGUGGCAAGCGUUGUCCGGAUUUACUGGGCGUAAAGCGCACGUAGGCGGAUUGUUAAGUCAGAGGUGAAAUCCCGGAGCUCAACUUCGGAACUGCCUUUGAUACUGGCAAUCUAGAGUCCGGAAGAGGUUAGUGGAAUUCCCAGUGUAGAGGUGAAAUUCGUAGAUAUUCGGAAGAACACCAGUGGCGAAGGCGGCUCACUGGACGUGUAUUGACGCUGAGGUACGAAAGCGUGGGGAGCAAACAGGAUUAGAUACCCUGUAGUCCCUGAGCGGGCUGGCAAGGCG